rnacentral:rRNA from 1 species
AUACGUAGGGUGCGAGCGUUAAUCGGAAUUACUGGGCGUAAAGCGUGUGCAGGCGGACUGUUAAGCAAGACGUGAAAUCCCCGGGCUUAACCUGGGAAUGGCGUUUUGAACUGGCAGUCUAGAGUGUGUCAGAGGGGGGUAGAAUUCCACGUGUAGCAGUGAAAUGCGUAGAGAUGUGGAGGAAUACCAAUGGCGAAGGCAGCCCCCUGGGAUAACACUGACGCUCAUGUACGAAAGCGUGGGUAGC